rnacentral:tRNA from 1 species
UGGGGAGUAGUGUAAUGGCUGCACGCAGGCCUUUGGAGCCUUGUAGUCGCGGUUCAAGUCCGCGCUCCCCAG